rnacentral:tRNA from 3 species
GAGGGAUUGGUGUAGUGGUAACAUGACGGUCUUCGGAACCGCAGUCGGGGGUUCAAUCCCCUCAUCCCUCG